rnacentral:rRNA from 1 species
UAUGCACGCUGGCGGCGUGCCUAAUACAUGCAAGUCGAGCGAACGGACGAGAAGCUUGCUUCUCUGAUGUUAGCGGCGGACGGGUGAGUAACACGUGGAUAACCUACCUAUAAGACUGGGAUAACUUCGGGAAACCGGAGCUAAUACCGGAUAAUAUUUUGAACCGCAUGGUUCAAAAGUGAAAGACGGUCUUGCUGUCACUUAUAGAUGGAUCCGCGCUGCAUUAGCUAGUUGGUAAGGUAACGGCUUACCAAGGCAACGAUGCAUAGCCGACCUGAGAGGGUGAUCGGCCACACUGGAACUGAGACACGGUCCAGACUCCUACGGGAGGCAGCAGUAGGGAAUCUUCCGCAAUGGGCGAAAGCCUGACGGAGCAACGCCGCGUGAGUGAUGAAGGUCUUCGGAUCGUAAAACUCUGUUAUUAUGGAAGAACAUAUGUGUAAGUAACUGUGCACAUCUUGACGGUACCUAAUCAGAAAGCCACGGCUAACUACGUG